rnacentral:rRNA from 1 species
GACGAACGCUGGCGGCGUGCCUAAUACAUGCAAGUCGAGCGGACGAAUCGAAAGCUUGCUUUUGAUUCGUUAGCGGCGGACGGGUGAGUAACACGUUGGCAACCUGUCCUGUAGACGGGGAUAACACCGAGCAAUCGGUGCUAAUACCGGAUGACACGAAAUGUCGCAUGACGUUUCGAUGAUAGACGGCGCAAGCUGUCGAUACACGAUGUGCCCGCGUCGCAUUAGCUAGUUGGCGUGGUAACGGGUCACCAAGGCGGCGACGCGUAGCCGACCCGAGAGAGUGAUCGGCCACACGGGAGCUGAGACACGGCCCAGACUACUACGGGAGGCAGCAGAAUGGAAUCGUCCGCAAUGGUCGAAAGUCUGGCGGAGCGACGCCGCGUGAGCGAAGGAAGCGUUGGGGUCGUAAAGCUCUGUUGUUGGGGAAGAACAAGUAACGCAGUAGCUGGCGUUAGCGUGACGGUACCGGGCAAGAAAGCCACGGCUAACUACGUG